ACAGGGACAGGCGGGUGAGCAGCCCCCUCCCCCCUCCGCCAGCUUCCGGGGCGACGCAGCGACAACUCCGCGCAAGGUGCGCGCUUUCCUCCUCGGCCCCGAAGCCGGGUGGUGAGGGUUGAGGGCAGCUUGGCCCCGGUUGUGGCCAUUUUCCACCAAGCGUUGCUGCCGUCGGAGACCGUAGGGGCCAGUCAGGCCGGCGGGGAGAGAGCUGCCCGCCGCGGCGUUGCGUCACCGCAAGGGCCUCGCCAAAUCCCCGCUGGCACUGCAUCGAGGCUUUUCCCCUUCUCCCCGUCGCUCUCUAGGCCGGGACCCCCGGGGGUGAGGGGAGUCUCUGGCGAGUUAGUGGGGUUUUUUUGUUUGGUUGGUUUGGCAUUGUGUUUGUGUUUUGUUUGGGUUUUUUUGGGUGGAGGGAUGGUGUAUGGUUCGCUGGUACUGCUGUAGCUACGCCCCGCCGGGGAGCCUGGAGUGGCCCCUGGGAGAGGAUGACGGCACGGGGUGGUGUUGCUUUAAUAAAGCAUAGUCUUGUCUUAAGGGAAAUCUGAAAGGCAAGAGGGGUGUCACGGAGGCUGUGAAGCUGGUAUGUUGAAGAGAGUAUAGCUGCGGUUUUUUUUUAAUCGUAGGGCUUUUGUCAAGCACAAAAAAUACAGAUGACCAUAAAAUUAAAUCUAGAAUCAGAUGGUCUACAACACAAGUGUCAUUUAAGCCACUUCUAAGGAGAAUGGCUGUGGCCUACACAAAUGAUACAAGAUCUGAUGCACCGGUACAAAGAAGACAACAUUUCAGCUCUUGUGGUUUAUCUGAGAAAUCAACAGUAAACUGCCUUCAGCUGAAUCUAUCAUUUUAGCUUGAGAAAUAAUACUGGGAUUCUGAUGUUAAUUUGCAGUGCCAAUAUGUCUUAGGCCAGAUGCUUAGUGUUCUAUUCAGACAAUAUUUUCUGGGCUUUCUAAUAAUUCAAAGCAUCUUUUUUUCUAGUUAUUUUCAGCUUUCCUAAUUUUGUGUGUUUAUUUAUUUUACCUAGACAUAUCACAGAUAUGUAUAAAUGAAUAUCACUUAGUCCAGAAUUUGUUUUACUCCUGUUUAACAAUAAAAGCUUGCACAGAUGGCUGCAAAACAGAACCUUCAAACACAGCCAGACUUGUACAUUUGUGCCGAUUUCUUGCUUGAAGGAACUCAGGUUCAAAAUGCUGUGCUGCCAAAUCCAUCCCUGUAGUAAUUGUUUUGACUUCAGUGGAUUGCCACAUGGGAUUGUCUGUGAUAUCUGGCUAAGCUAAGAGGUUCUGACUCAUUUGACAAUAGUAAAAAUGAAGUCUGAAAAGCAUGCUACUGUGUUAGGUGUCGGACAGUUUAAGCCUUUUUGCUGUGGUCUUGAGAGCCACUUUCCAUUCAGAAACCACAAGAAACAAUUAAAAUCUACUUUGACUUAGAUAACAAGCAGUAGAAAAUACUGUGCUCACACUGAGUCACAUACAGGUGCAGACAACAGGAGGUUCAAACAGUCCAGCUGGUUUCCUGAGGAUUUAGAAGUCAUUUCGGCACCGAAGAAGUGGUGUGCAAGCUGCUGUAUUUCUGUCUCUGUGGCAUCAGAAAUGCCAGAAGGAGGAUUUUUAGAACACAGCUGCCUAGAGAGACUCUGAGAACUACAGAAAAUGGGAGGAAAAUUCAGGAUCUUGAUGGCAGAUGAAUAAUGGAAUUUCUCAGCACAAAUAGAAACUGGAAGGAGGAAAAUCUCCUGCAAACAUCACAGAGCUAACAGAUACAUAGAAAGGAUCAUCAAAGUGAAGUUUACAGUUAGAAGAGAAUCUACUCAGAGUUGAAAGAACCAUGGCAUGGAAGCUGAACUAGGAGAGCUCAACUUGCUCAUAUGGGCUGCAUUUUGAAAGGUUCAUCAGGGAUAUUAUCCCUCCCCCACACUGAAGCAUAUGAUCCUGUGAUCCUGGAAUACCAAGUAGACACCCCAUUACAAUAACUGGAAGCUUCACCUAUGGCUGCCCAACAAAGCUGCAAAGCCUCCUCAAAAUUUUGCAAAGACAUCUUGAGCUUCCUCUUUCAAAUAACAGCAAAGCAUGGAAUGAUGAAGUGCUGCCCACAAUUUCUUCUGUGAAACGUCCCAGCCACGUCUCGUCUGAUGCACACAGGAUGAGCCUGUCUACCUGGCAGGCAGAGAGGACAGCCAGCAGCACAGCAGCUGCCCCAGCCCAACUCAGGGCAGGCCAGCCCUCUCCCUCUUCAAGUGAACAGCAGAGAGAGAAGAAUAUACUUCUAGCAGGAUCUCCAUCAUCAGAGCUCCAGGAAGAACUAUAGUGGAAGUAGAAGGCGUAGAGGAACAACAGAAAAUACAAAACAUAGAAGAACAUGGUAUCAUAGCCCAGAACCAAACCAGCUUGCUCUGUCCUUUCAGGCCCUGUCAAGGGACCCCAGAGUACUGCUUUUUACAAAAGCCAGAUUCACAAGUAUCUGCUACUAUUUUGCUUGAAUAAAGAAAAUGUUAUAGACCUGAUGAGUGGGGAGGUUUUGUCCUCAAAUAGAAUGUGAUUUUUGUCAAAAUAUACAAGAGAAUUCGAGUCCCAAAUAUACUGAAAACUAUUACUCAUAUCUGCAUAGGUAGUUCAGUACACUGCUCACUAUAAUACUUUCCAAAAUAGAAAAGUUCUUAAAAUGAAGUUAAUAAAAAAUAUUAACUAUGCAAGACUUAAUGUGAAGUAGCCAAAUACAAUGUAAAAAGCAGAACAGAGUAUCCUUCAGUAAGGAACUUCUUAGUUCCUCUAGUUAGUUUGUUCCUUCUUCCUAGAAACUCUUGCUGUAUAUAGCUGCUGUGGUUUCAUCUGUAUUGUAAAAGGCUUGAUGGUUUGCUCUUAUUAGAAAUGAAGAAGCAACACUGAGUGUUUCAGGUAACACACUUGUGACAAUAGGAAUUAUGACCAGCAUUUAUGUGGCAGUGUUAAGUCUGGUGUUUUCAUGUCACAGUGAUAUUAACAAUAGUAACACUCUUUGCUAAUUUAUCCAUAAUUUGGGGUAAUUCCCAGGGAUACAAGACAUAAAUCUGUAUUUAGGACUUUGGUAGUUUGCUUUACUCUCAUAAAGCACAUUUUCUGCAUUCUCUUUGUUGAGAAGCUCAUAGCUAUGAUCACUAUAAGCCACUGAGAGGCAAUGUAAAUAAUGACAUUCAGCAAAUAAACUAAAUGCUUUUGUUAUGA